rnacentral:rRNA from 1 species
UACGUAGGGGGCGAGCGUUGUCCGGAGUUACUGGGCGUAAAGGGCAUGCAGGCGGUCGGACGCGUUUCGGGUGACAGCGGGUGGCUUAACUACCCGAGUGGUCGAAAGACGGUUUGACUUGAGGACGCGAGAGGGACACGGAAUUCCGGGUGGAGUGGUGAAAUGCGUAGAGAUCCGGAGGAACACCGAAGGCGAAGGCGGUCUGCUGGGCCAAGACUGACGCUGAGGCGCGACAGCGUGGGGAGCAAACAGG